UGGGGAAUAUUGCACAAUGGGCGAAAGCCUGAUGCAGCAAUGCCGCGUGUGUGAAGAAGGCCUGCGGGUUGUAAAGCACUUUCGGUAGGGAAGAUAAUGACGGUACCUACAGAAGAAGCACCGGCUAACUCCGUGCCAGCAGCCGCGGUAAUACGGAGGGUGCGAGCGUUAAUCGGAAUUACUGGGCGUAAAGCGCGCGUAGGCGGCUUUGUAGGUCGGAUGUGAAAGCCCCGGGCUUAACCUGGGAAUUGCAUUCGAUACUGCAUAGCUAGAGUAUGGGAGAGGGAUGUAGAAUUCCAGGUGUAGCGGUGAAAUGCGUAGAUAUCUGGAGGAAUACCGGUGGCGAAGGCGGCAUCCUGGACCAUUACUGACGCUGAGGCGCGAAAGCUAGGGGAGCAAACGGGAUUAGAUACCCCCGUAGUCCCUGAGCGGGCUGGCAAGGCGCAU
rnacentral:rRNA from 1 species